UCGGUGGUUCAGUGGUAGAAUGCUCGCCUGCCACGCGGGCGGCCUGGGUUUUUAUUUCCCACUUUCAUAG